rnacentral:rRNA from 1 species
CUAAGAAUCUUGCGCAAUGGGCGAAAGCCUGACGCAGCAAUUCCGCGUGGGGGACGAAGGCCCUCGGGUCGUAAACCCCUUUUGUGAGGGAAGAAGUUCUGACGGUACCUCACGAAUAAGACACGGCUAACUACGUGCCAGCAGCCGCGGUAAUACGUAGGUGUCGAGCGUUGUCCGGAUUUACUGGGUUUAAAGGGUGCGUAGGCGGGCAUGUAAGUCAGUGGUGAAAUACCGGAGCUUAACUUCGGAACUGCCAUUGAUACUAUAUGUCUUGAAUAUUGUGGAGGUAAGCGGAAUAUGUCAUGUAGCGGUGAAAUGCAUAGAUAUGACAUAGAACACCGAUUGCGGAGGCAGCUUGCUACGCAAAUAUUGACGCUGAGGCACGAAAGCGUGGGGAUCAAACA